AACGGCCGCGGUACCCUAACCGUGCGAAGGUAGCAUAAUCACUUGUUCUUUAAAUAAGGACUCGUAUCAACGGCAUCACGAGGGCUAUACUGUCUCCUUUCUCCAAUCAGUGAAACUGAUCUUCCCGUGAAGAAGCGGGAAUUAUUAUAUAAGACGAGAAGACCCCAUGGAGCUUUAAACUCAAUAUAUAUCUCUACGCACUUUCAUCACUGCAGCCUAAGAAAAUUAUAUAUUAGUUUUGGGUUGGGGGGACCGCGGAGAAAAAAUUAACCUCCACGACAAAUAGGCUAACGCCUUUAUCCAUGAACUACAAUUCUAAGAAUCAAUAGACUGAUGUUUAAUGAUCCAAUUUGUUGAUCAACGAACCAAGUUACCCUGGGGAUAACAGCGCAAUCUACUUCAAGAGCCCCUAUCGACAAGUAGGUUUACGACCUCGAUGUUGGAUCAGGGUAUCCUAGUNNNNNNNNNNNNAGUCCACCCAAGCAAAAGAAACUUUUAGUUUGACACCCCGAAACUAAGCGAGCUACUUCAAAACAGCCCAAGGGGCCAACCCGUCUCUGUUGCAAAAGAGUGGGAAGAUUUUUAAGUAGAGGUGAAAAGCCUACCGAGCUUAGAGAUAGCUGGUUG
rnacentral:rRNA from 1 species